CGAGCGAACUGAUUAGAAGCUUGCUUCUAUGACGUUAGCGGCGGACGGGUGAGUAACACGUGGGCAACCUGCCUGUAAGACUGGGAUAACUUCGGGAAACCGAAGCUAAUACCGGAUAGGAUCUUCUCCUUCAUGGGAGAUGAUUGAAAGAUGGUUUCGGCUAUCACUUACAGAUGGGCCCGCGGUGCAUUAGCUAGUUGGUGAGGUAACGGCUCACCAAGGCAACGAUGCAUAGCCGACCUGAGAGGGUGAUCGGCCACACUGGGACUGAGACACGGCCCAGACUCCUACGGGAGGCAGCAGUAGGGAAUCUUCCGCAAUGGACGAAAGUCUGACGGAGCAACGCCGCGUGAGUGAUGAAGGCUUUCGGGUCGUAAAACUCUGUUGUUAGGGAAGAACAAGUACGAGAGUAACUGCUCGUACCUUGACGGUACCUAACCAGAAAGCCACGGCUAACUACGUGCAC
rnacentral:rRNA from 2 species